GAUGAACGCUGACAGCAUGCUUAACACAUGCAAGUCUACUUGAACUUCGGUUUGGGUGGCGGACGGGUGAGUAACGCGUAAAGAACUUGCCUCACAGAUAGGGACAACAUUUGGAAACGAAUGCUAAUACCUGAUAUUAUGAUUUUAGGGCAUCCUAGAAUUAUGAAAGCUAUAUGCACUGUGAGAGAGCUUUGCGUCCCAUUAGCUAGUUGGAGAGGUAACGGCUCACCAAGGCGAUGAUGGGUAGCCGGCCUGAGAGGGUGAUCGGCCACAAGGGGACUGAGACACGGCCCUUACUCCUACGGGAGGCAGCAGUGGGGAAGAUUGGACAAUGGACCAAGAGUCUGAUCCAGCAAUUCUGUGUGGACGAUGAAGUUUUUCGGAAUGUAAAGUGCUUUCAGUUGGGAAGAAAAAAAUGACGGUACCAACAGAAGAAGUGACGGCUAAAUACGUG
rnacentral:rRNA from 1 species